CCCGAUCCCAUCUCGAACUCGGAAGUGAAGACGCUCAGCGCCGAUGCUAGUGUGGGGUCUCCCCAUGUGAGAGUAGGUCAUCGCCAGGC
rnacentral:rRNA from 1 species